GCCCGAAUAAUUUAAACAAAAUAUCGGUCUUGUAAGCCGAAGAUGAAGACUAGCGUGUUCUUCGGGCA
rnacentral:tRNA from 1 species